UCUCAUUGAACCCCUUACCUACGUGUGGAAACAACAUGAAUACAUUUGUAAAGAUUGUUUUGGUCUCUUACUACUAAUGGGCAUAUUAUUUCAUAAUCAUUUAAUCCUAGAUAAAAAAUACGCAAUACUUUUAGUGUAAAGACUUGAAGCUUAUGAAAUGAUAAGAAAGUUAUUAAGCUCAUGUGAAUUUUGAAAUUAGUAUUUAUUAAGGACUUUGUAACCUUUUUUCAAGUACGUAGGGUUCAAUUGCUAACUUGUGUGUCUUCAAUGCAAGCUUUUAGUCAAUAAUAUUAACGUGAAGUUUGAUGGAAUCAUGAACUAAUUAAACAUGAAGGUUGAAAUAUUUUCUGAAAAGGAGCAGGUUUCAUCAUCUGAUAUCAAAUUGAUGAAAAAUGAAGAAAGUUUUACAUUACAAGUUGUAGGAGUCUUGCUUAUUUUGGUUUUUGACAUAGAAACCUGAAACUAUUGUAAUCCUAUUCUAUACCUCCAUUCGUGGUGAGGCUACACCUGAAACCUUUGAAGUGCCCAGCAAGUAUUUUACUAACUGUCCUAAAGCAUUGACCCAUUAGCCCUUUCUAUUAAAGUACUUUUUAUCAACUCAAACUGAGUCUGACUUGGUCAAAGUACAACACUUACCCUUUUUGAAAGUAACCUUUUGUACAGUUAUCUUACAGCAAUGGGAGAAGCUGGUUUUUUAGAAGAAAGAUCUUCACAUACCACUUUGAAGUUUGGUGUAACAAAAUAGGAGCCAGAAGAGAACUGUGAUAGGACAAUGGAGAAAACUGAGGUAAUAUGUAGAAU